AGGAGCACCACGAAAAGGGUUGAGACACUGGGUCUUACCCGAGCCGUGAGGAGUCUGUGCGCUGUAGUGGCGCCGGCUUGGUGCACAACAAACUUGUAGAACUGCCAGACACACUAUUGGGCUUUGAGACAACAGGCCCGCGCCCCUGUUCCGGUGGGGGCAUCCGGUUGCGGGUGUCGGCGUGUUGUUGCUCCGCUUUGGUGGUGGGGUGUGGUGUUUGAUUUGUGGAUAGUGGUUGCGAGCAUCUAGCACGCAGAAUCGUUGGUCUCACUCUUUGUGGGUGGGGCUGGUUUUGUGUGUUGAUGUGCAAUUUCUUUUGAAACUCAUUUUUGGUUUUUGUGUUGUAAGUGUUUAAGGGCGCAUGGUGGAUGCCUUGGCACUGGGAGCCGAUGAAGGACGUGGGAGGCU
rnacentral:misc_RNA from 1 species